rnacentral:rRNA from 1 species
GUGCCAGCCGCCGCGCUAAUACGUAGGUCCCGAGCGUUAUCCGGAUUUAUUGGGCGUAAAGCGAGCGCAGGCGGUCAGAUAAGUCUGAAGUUAAAGGCUGUGGCUUAACCAUAGUACGCUUUGGAAACUGUUUAACUUGAGUGCAGAAGGGGAGAGUGGAAUUCCAUGUGUAGCGGUGAAAUGCGUAGAUAUAUGGAGGAACACCGGUGGCGAAAGCGGCUCUCUGGUCUGUAACUGACGCUGAGGCUCGAAAGCGUGGGGAGCAAACAGGAUUAGAUACC